AUUGAACGCUGGCGGCAGGCCUAACACAUGCAAGUCGAGCGGCAGCGGAAAGUAGCUUGCUACUUUGCCGGCGAGCGGCGGACGGGUGAGUAAUGUCUGGGAAACUGCCUGAUGGAGGGGGAUAACUACUGGAAACGGUGGCUAAUACCGCAUAACGUCGCAAGACCAAAGUGGGGGACCUUCGGGCCUCACGCCAUCGGAUGUGCCCAGAUGGGAUUAGCUAGUAGGUGGGGUAAUGGCUCACCUAGGCGACGAUCCCUAGCUGGUCUGAGAGGAUGACCAGCCACACUGGAACUGAGACACGGUCCAGACUCCUACGGGAGGCAGCAGUGGGGAAUAUUGCACAAUGGGCGCAAGCCUGAUGCAGCCAUGCCGCGUGUGUGAAGAAGGNCUUCGGGUUGUAAAGCACUUUCAGCGAGGAGGAAGGCAUCACACUUAAUACGUGUGGUGAUUGACGUUACUCGCAGAANAAGCACCGGCUAACUCCGUGCCAGCAGCCGCGGUAAUACGGAGGGUGCAAGCGUUAAUCGGAAUUACUGGGCGUAAAGCGCACGCAGGCGGUUUGUUAANUCA
rnacentral:rRNA from 1 species